AGUGAACGCUGGCGGUAGGCCUAACACAUGCGAGUCGAACGGCAGCACAGUAAGAGCUUGCUCUUACGGGUGGCGAGUGGCGGACGGGUGAGGAAUACAUCGGAAUCUACUUUUUCGUGGGGGAUAACGUAGGGAAACUUACGCUAAUACCGCAUACGACCUACGGGUGAAGGCAGGGGAUCUUCGGACCUUGCGCGAUUGAAUGAGCCGAUGUCGGAUUAGCUAGUUGGCGGGGUAAAGGCCCACCAAGGCGACGAUCCGUAGCUGGUCUGAGAGGAUGAUCAGCCACACUGGAACGGAGACACGGUCCAGACUCCUACGGGAGGCAGCAGUGGGGAAUAUUGGACAAUGGGCGCAAGCCUGAUCCAGCCAUACCGCGUGAGUGAAGAAGGCCUUCGGGUUGUAAAGCCCUUUUGUUGGGAAAGAAAAGCAGCAGGUUAAUACCGCGCUGUUCUGACGGUACCCAAAGAAUAAGCACCGGCUAACUUCGUG
rnacentral:rRNA from 1 species